GGCGGCGGCGGCGGCACUGCGGUUGUUUCCUCGCAGAUGGAGCUGAGCCGGCGCGGGCGAGUGAGCAGGCCGGCUGAAAAGGACGGACGGACCGGCUCUCCCCCGGCCGCGGAGCCCCCGAUGAGGGCUCAGCAGCCAGCGGGGUGGCUGCUGUUCCUGAGCUAAGCGUGAAAUGACAAGAACUCAGUCAUCCCAACGCCCUGGUGUUUGCUCUACCAGCUUGCCAUGUGAAUAGCACUGUCGCUUUAAUAAUUCCAUGUCAAGGGAUUGCUUUCAAUCCUCUUGGGUGUAAUACGAGAGGAUCAGAGGGAUGUUACAGACCAGAAGGCUGGGCGAAGAGAAUAACAAUGAAAGUGACGGCUAUGCGGGUAACCAAGUGAAACUUCAGAGCUUUUUUUCUAGCAUCCAGAAGACCAGGAUGUCUGCCUAAUGGGCAAAAAUCCUUGUGACUGCAGCAGGAAGAAAAAUCUCUUUGAGUUGCUUCCACCUUCCUUAGAAUUUUAUUUGGAUUAUUUAAGACGGGGUUAGGCGGUUUUGGACUGUGUUGAAGUGGAAUACUGAGAUUGCCAAGUCUUGGACUGUGCCUUAAUUGCAUUUUUGACAUUCACUUAACUUCUGAAUACAAUACAAAACAAUCCUUCAUUGUCAGAAGAGGGAUUCUUAUACACUUUUGUAAACGGAUGUGUGUUUUCUCCGAUAUAUUUUUAUAGCUUGGGAAAUACUUUACAGAUUUUGACAACUGCUUUGGCAGAAAGUCUCUAAAACUCCCCUCCCUGCCUUGCUAUUUUCCUGGUGAUGUUGGAAGUUUUUAACUGGAGGAAUUACAAGCAUCCUUGUGGAAAAUGAAGAAAUAGAGCCCUCUUUUUAAGCUGAACUGUUUUGAGUUGGACAGCAGACUUCUGACUUCCCAAGAUAAUCCUGGAAGGACUCUACAGUAAAUAAAUACUUGCAUCCAGUGCCAGAAGUAACAGCAAGAAUGCCAGUGAAGAAGAAAGGUGGGCUAUGAGGGUUUUUUUCGGUCUGUCUUUUGGACAUACUGGAUUUCUGACACAUGCAAUUUUAUAUUAAAAGGCGUUUAAAUAGGA